CGACGAGCUGCAGAUCGAGCUGCAGCUCGAGCGAGCGUUGCUCCCCUUCGGCGCGGUAGAUCUGGGCGAGCAACGCUCGGUCGAGGGACGGCUCGCCGCGCCGAAGGGGGAGCAGUGCCGACUGGAGAAGGAGUGCCGAAGGGGGAGCGACACUGACCGGAGGAGGAGGGCCGAACGGGGAGCAACGCCGACCGGAAACGUACCUGGAGUCGCCGGAGUGAGGAGUCGCCGGAGAGUCAGCCGAGUGGGAGCCGCCGGAGAGAUGGGAGAGACGCCGGAAAAGGAAGAACGAAGCUUCAGCCGACGAGAGGAGCGACGAGCACGCACGAAGGAGAAGAGUUCGUCGCCUUUGUUCCGAUUUUGUUCUUUUGUUUCUUUGGUUUUUGUUCUUUUGUUCCGUCGAAGAAGUGUUUCUUUUCAAAAGAAACAACUUUUUUUUGUUUCUUUUUUUUGUUCCUAUUUCGUUCCAGAAACAAAAAAACAAAAAAGGAACA
rnacentral:lncRNA from 1 species